CGGAGGGAGUGGGUCAGGAGGAGACCCCAGGACCCACGAGGAGCAGAUGGCCGCUCCGGGGCGGAGCCCGUGAGCGUCAGGGGAGCGGGAGAGCCAAUCCGUCCCUGCAGCAGCGCGGGAGAGAGCCAACGAGAUGGGUGUCUAUGCAUAAAGAAGACAGCAACAUGAAGCUGAGAUUGAUUCCCAUUGGUACUGAAUCAGAACUCAUAGAAACAAGUAAAUCUCCUUGGAAAUUAUCACCUAUCAGGUCACCAUCACACCAAGGCACUCGAAGAGACAUUGACGGCGAAAAGGAAUUGAACUCAAUGGGAAAGCACGGCACCAUGAAGGAGCCACCAUGCAAGGGCAGCAAGUGAAUCCAGGGGAGGUCUGUCUCCAAGAAGACGAGCAAGGAAGGCCGAAAUGCUCAUUUGUAAAGGAAGUAUUUGAAAUGUCACCCUCCCCCUUUUUUUCUAAACUGUUUUCUUGGGAAGCCUUCUUAUAGAAACUUAAGAAAAGAUGACUGGGAAUUUAUAUUGUUGAUAUGGGCACACCACGUCAAGGACCCCAAUGCCUCAGACCUCUGCAAAUGAUAAAGCUUCCAUGGGUCAGGUUUGGAGAAAUGGCAAAGCCUUCCACUCUCCCGAGUACCAGUAUUGACAACUGAUUGCUCUUUAGUUAAUGCCAGUGUAGAGUUAGCACCCACCAGAACCAUGGCUUCCUCCUGCUGCAUAUUUACAACUUAAGACUGUUCCCCUAUGAAGACUUCCCACUCAGACAAGCUAACCCCUCAGUGGUGGUUUGAAUGAGAAUGACCCCUGUACAAUCAUACAGUUGAAUGCCCCCCCCCCCCACCCAGUUGGCG
rnacentral:lncRNA from 1 species